UCCAUCAGAAUUCAGCGGGUUGUGAGA
rnacentral:piRNA from 1 species